rnacentral:rRNA from 1 species
GAUGAACGCUGGCGGCGUGCUUAACACAUGCAAGUCGAACGAAGCACCUUAUUCUGAUUUCUUCGGAAUGAAAAAUUCGGUGACUGAGUGGCGGACGGGUGAGUAACGCGUGGGUAACCUGCCUCAUACAGGGGGAUAACAGUUAGAAAUGACUGCUAAUACCGCAUAAGACCACAGCACCGCAUGGUGCAGGGGUAAAAACUCCGGUGGUAUGAGAUGGACCCGCGUCUGAUUAGGUAGUUGGUGGGGUAACGGCCUACCAAGCCGACGAUCAGUAGCCGACCUGAGAGGGUGACCGGCCACAUUGGGACUGAGACACGGCCCAAACUCCUACGGGAGGCAGCAGUGGGGAAUAUUGCACAAUGGGGGAAACCCUGAUGCAGCGACGCCGCGUGAGCGAUGAAGUAUUUCGGUAUGUAAAGCUCUAUCAGCAGGGAAGAAAAUGACGGUACCUGACUAAGAAGCAC